GUAAUGUGAAUUUUCUUGAUCACAAAUAAGGUUGAUUCUAUUUUUUGCCCAUGUGUACAAUAUCAUUUGCCUUUUUACUAUAUAUUUGUUAAUGCUCCAUACAUAUAUUUGAUAUGAAUUAUUUUUACUCUUAAUAGAAUUGUGUAUUAAUUUGUUAUGAAUAUUUUUCCAUUCUAUAACUGUCCUACUCAUUUUAUUUGUGUCUUUUGAUAAAGUCAGAAUCUAUCAUUCUGUGUUGAAUGUAUUGAUUACAUCCAAGAAAUAUUUUCUUACUGUAAGUGCACUAAUAUAGUCUCCUUAUUGUCUUCUAGAAUUUGUAUGUUCCUAGUUACUACAUGAUACAUUUAAUUUGUAUAUGAAGUGAGAUGGGUAAAGUUUUAUCUAUUCAUUCUUUUGCAUGUAUAUGUGUAUAUAUACAUAUAUGUGUGUGUGUAUAUAUGUGUAUAUGUAUAUGUAUAUAUAUAUAUAUACACACACAGACACACAUAUAUUUAUAUGUAGAAUUGUUCCAGCACCAUAUGUCAUAAAGACGUUCUAUUGAAUUAACUUCGAUCAUCAUUCAAAAUAAAUACAUUUACUGCAUAAGGAUAAGUAUCUUUCUGAAUUUUUCUAUCUGCUCCAUUUAUCUGUCCACAUUCAAAGCAUACUACAUUUUCUUGAUCAAUAUAGCUUUAUAUCUAAAUACACAGUUGUGGUUUCUGCUGCUGUUUUUCUUUGCAGUUAUUGGCUUUCAUCUUAUGCAUCUUAUGCAUCUUCAGCCUGAAAAACUUCUUUUCACAUUUCCUGUGGUAGAAGUCUGCUGUACAUCAAUUCUCUAAACUAUUGACUGAAAAUAUUUUCACUUGGCCUACAUGUUUGAAGGAUACUUUUUUCUAUACACAGACUUGUAGGUUGACAAGUUUUUUUUUUCUCUCUCUCUUUAAAGCUCUCAUUUGAUAAUCUUUAACCUUCAGUUUUUCAGGUGAGAAGUCAGCCAUAUUUUGUCAAUGUUACGUGGUCUAUAAUAUGCCUUUAUUUUUCCCUCUAGCUGCUUUCAAGAAAUGUUCUUUCUCUUUGGUUUCAGCAGAUUAACUAGGACAUCCCAAGGUAUACUUCCUCUCCCCCGUUAGACUUAAUUUCUUCAAAUAUUUCUUCUGCCCCAUUCUCUACCUCCUCUUAUUUUGAGAUUCAAUUUGUGCAUAUUUUAGGGUAUUUAAUAUUUCUCCACGUGCACUGAAGGCUGUAUUGGUUUUUCACUCUUUUUUCGUAUAUCAGUUUGUCUUCAGGUUUACUCAUAUUUUCUCAUGCUGUUAGGCUCUUACUAAGCCUUCCAAGUGAGAUUUUCAUUUUUACAUCUUAUUUUUUCUAAUGUUUUGAUAUUGUUCUAUUUUAAGCUUCUAUCUGCAGAAUAUUUUAGUAAGUUCAUUAAUAGUUUUCACUUUUUAUACUACAUCCUUUAAUAUAGUUAUCUGAUUUACUUUACAACCUUUUCUUAUAAUUAGAACAUCUGUAACAUUUCCUUUUCUCUUUUGACCAUGGAUCACAUAUUCUUGUUUCAUGAAACGACUUGUAGUUUUUUGUUUUGUUUUUAUUAUUACUGUAUACUAUACAUUGUGAGACAAGGAAAUGUAGAGACUGAAGUAAAUACUAUUUUCCCCCACUGAAGGCAAAUCUUUUCAGUAAUGCUUCAACUCUGGAGUGCUGAGUCAAUCCAGUCGGUAGUUAAGAUGAAUCUCUACUUAAUUUAAUUAGUUUGGAUUAAUUUCACUAUUAAAUGCAAAUAUUCUAAAUACAGAAUCAGGAAUUUUCUUUCAUUAGAUCUUAAAACGUAAGCAUGAACAACAUUCUGGAGACUUUUUUUUCAAUUACCCAACCCUCAACUUUCCCAAAAGAGGGAGGAUUUUGCUCUGCUUUUCAACCCAACUGCUAGUUUUUUGGAUUCCUACAAGUUCUUUCUGCUUUUUAAUUCUACCCAUGACUUUCUGCACCUAAAGAAAUUACUUUCUGUCUUGCUGCUUUACCUAAACUUGAAAGGUUUUUCCAGUUUAGUGGAUAGGCCCAAGGUUUCUCAGAAAUAUUUUUCUGAGCUGCUCGGCCUUGAAACAUUCUUAAGAAGGCUCUGGUUCUCGCUGGAAAAAAAUCUUAUUUGCUUCCGAACAGACUCUUUCAGCUUUCUUACUGUGCAUCUAGUCUUCAUCAUGUUAUAUCAUGCAUGUGAAAAAGCACAUGAGCAAAAUUAGUCUGGUAAAUAUAAACUCUCAUUUUUCUCCAAGAUGAGACUUGUUGCUUAUGGUAAUUUAAUUAGCUUAGGUUUUUUUUUUUGCAACCUCAGUCCUCUGAUUCUUUUAAGUCUCUGACUUUGCAGAUUAUCAGGCAAGUUUUUGUGGUUAGAAUGAGAAGCAUAUGUUCAUUUGAUUUCCUUUAUCUUAAUUAGUGGUCAAAGUUUAGCCCCCUACAUUUUUACUUCCCGUCUGGUUUAUUUUAUUUUGACUUAUUUUUAGAUAACAAACUUUUAAAAAUUUCCUGAUAUUUCCUAUUCUUGAACUAUGUAUUUGGUUUCCCUGUAUUGAAUCUCAACAAUCCUUAGAGAAUUUAGUUUCUAUUUGCCUUUGCAUCUUUGUAUUUUUGGCAUACUAGUACUGGCCCCCUGAGUACCUGCCCUGUUAGCUCCCAGUUCUCUUUGCUGGGAGAAGUUUUAAUGGUUUCUCAGAUCCAUUAGCUUUUCAUUUGGACACAUCAUAUUUUUUAUUUAUGUGUGCUUAGUAUUGAAACUUAUCCUGAAGGUGAGUUCUAAUACUGUUCUGAAAAAAAAUUAGUAUGGGUACAUUAAAUGUUCUUGAAUGUUAUUGCUUUGGGUUGUUAGCUCAUAUAUAUUUUAUUUGCUUAUCAAAUGGGAUCAAAACUCUGAUGCUUUUCCUUCUGGGUGAGUGAUUUUAGUUAAACUGAGCAUUUCCCAUUUCAAAAUAACACCUCAAAAUGCUACAUAUACUUUUAUUAUUUUACUAGUAAAUACUCGAUUUUUUAGUGAGCUAUAAAACAAGAUUAUAGUAUUGUUUUUAAAGAACUAAAAUGCAGUGUCCAUGUUACAUUGAAAAUUAAAUCAUGCAGAAAAAUUACUAGCAAAAUCAUACUUACAAUAUGUUAAGGAUGAAAGUUUUAUAUGACAUGUUUUCCUAGUAUAGCUAAAACUAAAUAUAUGAUAAAAUUUCUGGAAAAGGUAAAAUUUUGGAUUCAUAUUUUAAAUAUAUUUCAGUACUUUCAUGAUAUGUGGAGAAUUACAAAACUUUAAACACACAGAAACUACUCAACUUUAAAGUGUGUUUUAUAAUCCUGUAUGUUAUACUCUGUCAUAAUUAAAAGACAAAUUUAGCUCAAGAUUUAUCUUUAUCUAAUCCCUCUUCCUUAGAUAAUUCUCCUACUUUACUGGAUAUUCAUGGCUGCAAUCAUGAACUUUCUUAAUCUGUAUACUAUGAAUUACAAUGGUAGAAGUAUGACAAAUGUGUAUUUUUUCUUCUGUUCACAUGUACAAUUGAAGAAGCCACGUAUAACAUUUAUCAGGAGGGAAAAGAUGGGAUUGUCCUGUGCUUACCUCAAGCCUAGUGAGAAUGGUUUCAUGGAGGCCUCUCAGUGUGCUUGAUAUAUAUCCCCUGCAGAUACAUAGAGAACAAUGGACUAGUGUCUGACACGGAUCCUGAAAUCUAAAAGUGUGAAUGUAUGGCAAUGAACCUGAGCUGGCAGAGAAGAGAUUCUGUUGCACUGGGAAAUAGCUACUCUUCGGAUGGAAGGGGAUUAGUGGCAUGGGGUAUGUGUGUGUUUCAUAGAACAGAAGUGGCAUAUGCAGAAGAGAAAGGCUACAAAACAUCAUUUAGUAUUCUGCCCCAAAGGACCAACUAUAAAGAUACCUGUGACCCAUCAGAAACAGUCUGGAAAAGAGGAAAAUGGAAGUAAUAUUUUUUUUAAAAACUGAGUAACAGAGAAAGAGGUGUAAAUGCACUACUCAUUAUCACCAAGAACGCAGCUGGUUGCUGCAGAGCAAGUCCUCUGAAGCACCCAUGGAGAC
ensembl:lncRNA novel transcript